rnacentral:rRNA from 1 species
UACGUAGGCAGCGAGCGUUGUUCGGAGUUACUGGGCGUAAAGAGUGCGUAGGCGGUUUUCUAAGUUUGGUGUGAAAUCUCCCGGCUCAACUGGGAGGGUGCGCCGAAGACUGGAAGGCUAGAGUAUGGGAGAGGUAAGCGGAAUUCCUGGUGUAGCGGUGAAAUGCAUAGAUACCACCAAGAACCCCGAUUGCGUAGGCAGCUCGCUGAGCCGAAACUGACGCUGAGGCACGAAAGCGUGGGGAGCGAACAGG